AGCAGCCGCGGUAAAUUCCAGCUCCAAUAGCGUAUAUUAAAGUUGUUGCAGUUAAAAAGCUCGUAGUUGAAUUUCGGGAUUAACGUAAUGGUCGUGCCUUAAGGGGUAUGAACUGUUACUGUUGAUUUCUCACCUUCUGGAGAAUCUUGAUGUCCUUAAUUGGGUGUCUUGUGGAUCCAGGACCUUUACCUUGAAAAAUUAGAGUGUUUAAACGCAGGCAUUUUGCUCGAAUACAUUAGCAUGGAAUAAUAGAAUAGGACGGCAUGGUUCUAUUUUGUGGUUUCUAGGAUCACCGUAAUGAUUAAUAGGGAUAGUUGGGGGCAUUUAGUAUUCAAUUGUCAGAGGUGAAAUUCUUGGAUUUAUUGAAGACUAACUACUGCGAAAGCAUUUGCCAAGGAUGUUUUCAUUAAUC
rnacentral:misc_RNA from 1 species